UGGGGAAUUUUGGACAAUGGGGGCAACCCUGAUCCAGCAAUGCCGCGUGUGUGAAGAAGGCCUUCGGGUUGUAAAGCACUUUUGUCCGGGAAGAAAUCCCCUGCCCUAAUACGGCGGGGGGAUGACGGUACCGGAAGAAUAAGCACCGGCUAACUACGUGCCAGCAGCCGCGGUAAUACGUAGGGUGCGAGCGUUAAUCGGAAUUACUGGGCGUAAAGCGUGCGCAGGCGGUGAUGUAAGACCGAUGUGAAAUCCCCGGGCUCAACCUGGGAACUGCAUUGGUGCACUGCAUUGCUCGAGUAUGGCAGAGGGGGGUGGAAUUCCACGUGUAGCAGUGAAAUGCGUAGAGAUGUGGAGGAAUACCGAUGGCGAAGGCAGCCCCCUGGGCCAAUACUGACGCUCAUGCACGAAAGCGUGGGGAGCAAACAGGAUUCAGGAUACCCUGGUAGUCCACGCCCUAAACGAUGUCAACUAGUUGUUGGGGAUUCAUUUCCUUAGUAACGUAGCUAACGCGUGAAGUUGACCGCCUGGGGAGUAC
rnacentral:rRNA from 1 species